rnacentral:tRNA from 1 species
GGGGUGUAGCUCAGUUGGGAGAGCACCUGCCUUGCAAGCAGGGGGUCAAGGGUUCGAAUCCCUUCAUCUCC